CGGCAGCAUAGGUGCUUGCACCUGAUGGCGAGUGGCGAACGGGUGAGUAAUGCAUCGGAACGUGCCCAGUCGUGGGGGAUAACGCAGCGAAAGUUGUGCUAAUACCGCAUACGAUCUAUGGAUGAAAGCGGGGGACCUUCGGGCCUCGCGCGAUUGGAGCGGCCGAUGUUAGAUUAGGUAGUUGGUGGGGUAAAGGCUCACCAAGCCAACGAUCUAUAGCUGGUCUGAGAGGACGACCAGCCACACUGGAACUGAGACACGGUCCAGACUCCUACGGGAGGCAGCAGUGGGGAAUUUUGGACAAUGGGCGAAAGCCUGAUCCAGCAAUACCGCGUGCAGGAAGAAGGCCUUCGGGUUGUAAACUGCUUUUGUACGGAACGAAACGGCGCGCUCUAAUAAAGUGCGCUAAUGACGGUACCGUAAGAAUAAGCACCGGCUAACUACGUGCCAGCAGCCGCGGUAAUACGUAGGGUGCGAGCGUUAAUCGGAGUUACUGGGCGUAAAGCGUGCGCAGGCGGUUUUGUAAGACAGGCGUGAAAUCCCCGGGCUCAACCUGGGAAUUGCGCUUGUGACUGCAAGGCUAGAGUACGGUAGAGGGGGGUAGAAUUCCGCGUGUAGCAGUGAAAUGCGUAGAUAUGCGGAGGAACACCGAUGGCGAAGGCAGCCCCCUGGACCUGUACUGACGCUCAUGGCACGAAAGCGUGGGGAGCAAACAGGAUUAGAUACCCUGGUAGUCCACGCCCUAAACGAUGUCAACUGGUUGUUGGGAAUUUACUUU
rnacentral:rRNA from 1 species